CACGAAGCUGGAAUCGCUAGUAAUCGCGAAUCAGAAUGUCGCGGUGAAUACGUUCCCGGGUCUUGUACACACCGCCCGUCACACCAUGGGAGUCGGAAAUGCCCGAAGUCAGUGACCUAACCGAAAGGGAGGAGCUGCCGAAGGUGGAGCCGGUAACUGGGGUGAAGUCGUAACAAGGUAAC
rnacentral:rRNA from 1 species